GUUUUGAAAAUUUUUGGUACCAGUAAUGAUGCUACCAGGAAUGGUGUAUCAUGUCAUUGAGAGCUUCAGUCAAAAUAAUUGGAUGCUGAACCUAUGCAAUAACAAAGCCUUAAGCAGAGAACCAUCCAGAGAGAACUGGAGACUGUGAACGCAGAAGCACUUCCAGCUGUUGACGUCAGGCAAAACUGAAGAGCAGGUCUCACAUGUGCACAUACACAAAGAGCCCUGCUUUGGAGAGCCGCCAUCGCUAAUGGAAAGACAUUAUGUGGCUGAAGAUCCACAUUUUCCACACAGGAGAGCAGAAUGCUGGCAAGUUAAAUGGCCAAUGGACAAGCAGUUUCCAGCCCAGCAAAAGCUCAGCUUUAAUAUGAGCAGGCAGGCUCCAGGAGGAGUAAAGGCCCAGGAUAUCAGGCCUAAAUCCAUCUUGUGCCAGGAAAUCAAAAGAACCACAGCUUCACACCAUGAAAAUUUACCCUUGGCCCUAAAAACAGUUUUGAGAUGGAGUAGUUUUGCUUCCUUGUUUCUUUCAUCUUUUUCUCAGUUAGUGACUGUUUCACCAUUAAAAGCACUCUUGAAAUUUAUUU